GGAAAACUUCAUCCCUAUUGGUUGAAGGCCAUGCCUAAUGGACUUCAAGGAGGCUGCCCGAGGCCUUACUAGGAAUUAGAGUUUCUCUUUCAAAGUCAUUCGAGCUUUGGAGGCUAGUUUCAGAAAGUUCAGGGAUUUAAGUAUAAUUUGGGUGAAGAGUGUAUGUAAUUUUAAGUUUUUGUGAAGGAGAUAUAGGUGUUCGAAGUUAAGGUGUCAAAUUUGUACCUACUAUCACUCUUUGAAGCAUAACAUAUGUGUACGGAAAGCAAUGAAAGAUCGGUGACUGGAUUUAGAGAGGACACUUUCUUGGCUACAGUU
rnacentral:lncRNA from 1 species